CGGGAUAGCUCAGCAGGUAGAGCAGAG
rnacentral:tRNA from 1 species